UACGGGGGGGGGCAAGCGUUGUUCGGAAUUACUGGGCGUAAAGGGCUCGUAGGCGGCCAACUAAGUCAGACGUGAAAUCCCUCGGCUUAACCGGGGAACUGCGUCUGAUACUGGAUGGCUCGAGUUUGGGAGAGGGAUGCGGAAUUCCAGGUGUAGCGGUGAAAUGCGUAGAUAUCUGGAGGAACACCGGUGGCGAAGGCGGCAUCCUGGACCAACACUGACGCUGAGGAGCGAAAGCCAGGGGAGCAAAGCGGG
rnacentral:rRNA from 1 species